GACGAACGCUGGCGGCGUGCUUAACACAUGCAAGUCGUACGGUAAGGCCCUUUCGGGGGUACACGAGUGGCGAACGGGUGAGUAACACGUGAGUAACCUGCCCACAACUUUGGGAUAACGCUAGGAAACUGGUGCUAAUACUGGAUAUGUGCUCCUGCUGCAUGGUGGGGGUUGGAAAGCUCCGGCGGUUGUGGAUGGACGCGCGGCCUAUCAGCUUGUUGGUGGGGUAGUGGCCUACCGAGGCGGCGACGGGUAGCCGGCCUGAGAGGGUGACCGGCAACAUUGGGACUGAGAUACGGCCCAGACUCCUACGGGAGGCAGCAGUGGGGAAUAUUGAGCAAUGGGCGCAAGCCUGAUGCAGCAACGCCGCGUGCGGGAUGACGGCCUUCGGGUUGUAAACCGCUUUCAGCAGGGACGAAGCUUUUUGUGACGGUACCUGCAGAAGAAGCACCGGCUAACUACGUG
rnacentral:rRNA from 1 species